rnacentral:pre_miRNA from 1 species
UAUAUGCUCCCUCCAUCCUGAAAUACUUGUCCUAGAAAUGGAUAAAAUGGAUGUAUCUAUAACUAAAAUAAGUCUAGAUACAACCAUUUUUAUGACAAGUAUUUUCGAACGAAGGGAGUAGUUU